AUUGAACGCUGGCGGCAUGCCUUACACAUGCAAGUCGAACGGCAGCACGGGUGCUUGCACCUGGUGGCGAGUGGCGAACUGGUGAGUAAUACAUCGGAACGUACCUUAUCGUGGGGGAUAACAAAUUGAAAAACUUGCUAAUACCGCAUAAUACUCCGAGGAGGAACGCGGGGGAUUAGUAAGAACCUUGUGCGAUUAGAGCGGCCGAUGGCUGAUUAGCUAGUUGGUGAGGUAAAGGCCCACCAAGGCAACGAUCAGUAGCAGGUCUGAGAGGAUGAUCUGCCACACUGGAACUGAGAAACGGUCCAGACUCCUACGGGAGGCAGCAGUGGGGAAUUUUGGACAAUGGACGAAAGUCUGAUCCAGCAAUGCCGCGUGAGUGAAGAAGGCCUUCGGGUUGUAAAGCUCUUUUGUCAGUGAAGAAAACUUUAAUAAUAACACUAUUAAAGCAUGACGGUAACUGAAGAAUAAGGACCGGCUAACUUCGUGCCAGCAGCCGCCGUAA
rnacentral:rRNA from 1 species